rnacentral:rRNA from 1 species
GAUUAACGCUGGCGGCAUGCCUAAUACAUGCAAGUCGAACGGAAGCAGCAAUGCUUUAGUGGCGAACGGGUGAGUAACACGUAGGGAACCUACCUAUACGACGAGGAUAACUACUGGAAACGGUAGCUAAAACUGGAUAGGAUCAAUUGAGGCAUCUUGAUUGAUUUAAAGAUCCUUCGGGAUUACGUAGAGAUGGCCCUGCGGCGCAUUAGCUAGUUGGUGACGGUAACGGCCCACCAAGGCGACGAUGCGUAGCUGAGCUGAGAGGCUAAACAGCCACACUGGGACUGAGACACGGCCCAGACUCCUACGGGAGGCAGCAGUAGGGAAUUUUUCCGGCAAUGGGGGAAACCCGUGACCGAGCAAUGCCG